UACGUAGGGGCCUAGCGUUGUCCGGAUUUAUUGGGCGUAAAGAGCUCGUAGGCGGUUCGGCAAGUCGGAUGUGAAAUCUCCACGCUCAACGUGGAGGGGCCAUUCGAAACUGCCGUGACUCGAGUCCGGUAGGGGAGUGUGGAAUUCCCGGUGUAGCGGUGAAAUGCGUAGAGAUCGGGAGGAACACCAGUGGCGAAGGCGGCUACCUGGACCAGCACUGACACUGAGGCACGAAAGCGUGGGGAGCAAACAGGGA
rnacentral:rRNA from 1 species